GACGAACGCUGGCGGCGUGCCUAAUACAUGCAAGUCGAGCGGGCCUCCGGAGGUGCUUGCACCUCCGGAAGGCCAGCGGCGGACGGGUGAGUAACACGUGGGCAACCUGCCUUUGAGGCCGGGAUAACACCGGGAAACCGGUGCUAAUACCGGAUACGUCCUCUUUCGCGCCUGCGAGAGGGGAGAAAGACGGUCUUUAAGGCCGUCGCUCAAAGAGGGGCCCGCGGCGCAUUAGCUGGUUGGUGGGGUAAGGGCCUAGCAAGGCGACGAUGGGUGGCCGACCUGGGAGGGUGAUCGGCCACACUGGGCCUGAGACACGGCCCAGACUCCUGCGGGAGGCAGCAGUAGGGAAUCAUCCGCAAUGGGCGAAAGCCUGACGGUGCAACGCCGCGUGAGUGAGGAAGGUUUUCGGAUCGUAAAGCUCUGUUGUGAGGGAAGAACAGCUUCCGGAGGAAAUGCCGGAGGUUUGCCGGUACCUCACCAGAAAGCCCCGGCUAACUACGUGCCAGCCGCCGCAGUAAUAC
rnacentral:rRNA from 1 species